UAGAGUUUACGUCAAAAAAUAUGGCCGAAUCCAGAGAAUAAAUACCGUCCAAAGAGAUGGCUAGUCCUGCUUUGAAUUGUUUUCUGAUCUGAAGCAAAUAUGAAACAGUUCGCAGUAAUCGCUCUGUGUUGCCUCGUAAUUUUGGUAACCCAAGCUCAAGCGUUCCACAGACAUUAUCACUUCCGAGGUGGUCCAGGUGAUCAUUUCCAUGCAGGUUGAGAUUCCCUUGCUUUGCUGUUCUGGGUGUAAAAUGUCUCAAACAUGGUCGACCCCCGGCAGAACGAUAUAGAGGACCAUUCCCUCUUCUUUCAUGUCCAUAAAAUAGGAAUGAAGAUGUUUUAAAUUACUUUUAUGACAUUAUUUAAAUUCAUAUUAUGUGUAUUUAAAUUUUGAAAUAAAAUUUUAUGUUGCAUUA